rnacentral:rRNA from 1 species
CCUACGGGCGGCAGCAGUAGGGAAUAUUGCUCAAUGGGGGAAACCCUGAAGCAGCAACGCCGCGUGGGUGAUGAAGGUCUUAGGAUCGUAAACCCCUGUUGUUAGAGAAGAUUAUGCCGGUAUGUAACUAUUAACCACUGGAUAAUACCGUGCCAGCAGCCGCCGUAAUACGGAGUGUGCAAGCGUUAUUCGGAAUCACUGGGCGUAAAGCGUUCGUAGGCGGUGUUGUAAGUCAGAUGUGAAAGCCUUUGGCGUAACCUCAGAAGUGCAUUUGAAACUGUUACACUUGAGUGUGGGAGAGGAGAGUGGAAUUCUAGGUGUAGGGGUGAAAUGCGUAGAGAUAUAGAAGAACACUAGUUGCGAAGGCGACCUUCUGG